GGGGCAUUCCCCCAGCCGGUCUCCUCCCGGUCUGCCCAGAGCCAGAGACAGGGCCUGGGAGCCCUGCAAAGCCGGACCUAGGGGUCGCUGCAAGGUCGAAUCGGAGCUCGGGCAGGCUGGGUCCGGGAGCCCUGUGCUCAGUAAGGACCCCCCACCCUCUCAGGGACCCGAGGCGAUUGGCCUCCAUCACGCCGCAGAGCUCCCUUUGGCUGGAAAGCCCGGACUCUUGGCGCCCCUCCCGGCUAGGACAUGAGCCUCGGGAGGCACCCACGCGUGUGCAGGGCCCGCGUGUGCAGACGCGGCUCCGGAGGAUCCAGCCGGAAAGCCACCCCCGCUUAGCGACAGCGAGGCGAGUGUCAAACAGUCCCCGGGCAGCCGAGACUCUCUCAGGAGCGUCCAGCUCUCACCGUGGAGCCCAAGGGCUCCAGCCCGGAGCCAGCCGGGUUGGCCGGGCCACGGUGAUUCCGCAGUUCCCUCGGUCUGGACCCCUCCGGGCCGGGCCUGCGCGCUCCGGCGACUCCAGGCCCAGACCCACGCGGAGCCCGACCGAAGGUUAGCCCUGGUGCCUCCCGGCCUAGAGUAGCACCCAGCAAACGUCCAGAGCGAGCGGGACUGCCGAGACCCCGCGGCGAGACUUGCUCGCCUGCCUUGGCAGGACAAGCCCAGUGGGGCCGGCGGAGGAGAUUCCAGAAAAACCCGGGGAGAAAAAUCGCCGUGCAGCAAGGGCGGUGGGCGGCCAGAUGCUCCGGGCCAAGCCCCGCACGAACGUAGAGCGCGUGUCUGGACGGAGGGGGCCGUGAGCCCCGGGCGCCGCGAGCCUCCUGAGCCGGCCUCCGUUUCCCCCGGUGGAGACACGGACCACAGGGCCCCGGCCUGGAGUGUCGGAGGAAGCGAAUUACAUGCGUGUGCGCACAUGUCAAUAUUUUAUAAACCUCCCCUUAAUUAACCAGAUCAUUUCCAUUAUGCCUCCAACCCCAUCCACCGCAACGGUGUGAGGGUUUGCAGGCUUUAUAAUUCGAUGCCACCAGACGGUUGCUCGGGGGCAGAGGUGUGAUCGCCCGCGCCAGCUGCGCUUGUAUUUAUUUGUUUUUCUCCCGUGUUCCUGUAGGGCGCCAUUAUGCAGUUUUUAAUUAGUUUGUGUUUGUAGUUCACCCGUCCCAAAUCAAUGCCAUCCCGGAGCACGGCGAUGUAAAUUCUCGAAGUACAGGUGUAGCUGCCUGCUCGGGAACACGGGGAAGCGCGUGUCUGACAAAUGAAAGCCGGGCGGACUGUCAGCUCUCGGCAGCCAAGAGGCGCAGAUCAAAGCCAUCGGGGACUCCUGCGCCCUCGGAGCGCCUCAGUGGCGGCGGCUCCUAAUGCUAUUAGAGGGAGAGUCGGGUGCAGCUCGGCGUGGGGGACAAAGUGACUUUUCAUUUUGCUGGAAUCCUGGGUUCCCUGGGCCAGCGCUGGCCUCCCGCGCGCUCUGGCCUUGGGGCCUGGUGGGCGCUGGGCACCCUGCAUCAGGCUCCCGCCCCGGAUGCCCGGCUGGCUGUGGGCGCGCGUGCACGGACCCAGUGCUGGAGAAAGGUCAUUGCCACUUCCAGCGGGGUUCCGCAGCCCUUUCAUAGAACCCACGGCCAACAGCCGGGACUUUGGGAAUCUCCAGACUGGAGAACCCCCCUCACCCCCACUCCCAGGUCCCGCUCAUUUCUCUUCUUGAAAUGACCUCUGUGCAAUGAGUGUAAAUUAUUCUUCCCAGCCACCAGGGAAUUCUUUUAAAGAUUUUUUUUUUUUUUUUUUUGGAUCGGGAAUAAGAGAUUGUUCAUCUUUAACUAGACCACAUAGAAAUUAUGAUUCAACAGCAGUGUGUAUUUAAUUAGAGUAAUCUCACUUGAAUUUAAUUACCUAAUGAAUUAUUUGUUUAAAAGGUAGAACGUCUUGUUUGCCAAGUGUGGUGCAGACCUCUGAUAAGAACUUGUGUUAUAAGGACAUUACAGUAUAAAGCAGCCAUGUAGUAAGGUUUGGUUUUAACUCUUUGCGUGUGUAAUGGUUACUGUAGCACUCAACACACACACUAAGAUCAUGUCCGGAAGGCUGAGGGGAGGGCAGAAGCUCCCAUUAGCCAAACAGAGGCUUAGUUCUGUUGUGCAGGCAGGGCCCCUUCGAAAUUAAUAUCUUCCAACCCCUUUCCUCAUACACAUCUAUUUUUAAAUGUAUUUUUCAAUAGUUUUGUGUGUGUGUGCCAGAUGACAGCUGCCUAUUAUGACUCAUUUUAUGAUUCAUAUUUGCAAUGAAGUGGUACAUCUCCUUCAGGAAAACUCCAGCCUAGCUUCUCUGGGUGCCUGAACCUCCAUACUAGUGACAGAAAGGCUUUCUGAGGUCAUUGAACAUUAGAGGAAGGGAAGCUACAAUGCCCCAGACUGUGAUCUUAACCCCUAGUGCCUAAAUAAUGGAAGGAUUUCAUCCCCUCUCAUUUUGUAAGAGCAAAUGACUCCAAACCGUGCCACCCUUUCCAGUGGGCUCUGAAGGGGAUGUGUCUCCAGCUAAACAUACAUGAAAUCCACCUGGUUGAAUUCCACUGUUAUUUUCAUUCAUAGGUCAUUAACCAGAUAUUUAAUUGUAGAUUUGGGCACUAUUAUCACAUAAAUAUUAAGUAUUAAUAAUAUAGUGUUCAACUAAGUAGGAAUAGGCUUAUGAGAAAAAAUAAAAAACUUUGAUAAGAAUUAUUAACUUUUUUA
rnacentral:lncRNA from 1 species